UACGAAGGGGGCUAGCGUUGCUCGGAAUCACUGGGCGUAAAGCGCACGUAGGCGGAUCCUUAAGUCGGGGGUGAAAUCCCGGAGCUCAACUCCAGAACUGCCUUCGAUACUGAGGAUCUCGAGUCCGGGAGAGGUGAGUGGAACUGCGAGUGUAGAGGUGAAAUUCGUAGAUAUUCGCAAGAACACCAGUGGCGAAGGCGGCUCACUGGCCCGGUACUGACGCUGAGGUGCGAAAGCGUGGGGAGCAAACAGG
rnacentral:rRNA from 1 species